UACGAAGGGGGCUAGCGUUGUUCGGAAUCACUGGGCGUAAAGCGCACGUAGGCGGAUCUUUAAGUCAGGGGUGAAAUCCCGAGGCUCAACCCUCGGAACUGCCUUUGAUACUGGGGAUCUCGAGUCCGGGAGAGGUGAGUGGAACUGCGAGUGUAGAGGUGAAAUUCGUAGAUAUUCGCAAGAACACCAGUGGCGAAGGCGGCUCACUGGCCCGGAACUGACGCUGAGGUGCGAAAGCGUGGGGAGCAAACAGG
rnacentral:rRNA from 1 species